rnacentral:rRNA from 1 species
GUAGGGAAUCUUGCGCAAUGGGCGAAAGCCUGACGCAGCCAUGCCGCGUGAAUGAUGAAGGUCUUAGGAUUGUAAAAUUCUUUCACCGGGGACGAUAAUGACGGUACCCGGAGAAGAAGCCCCGGCUAACUUCGUGCCAGCAGCCACGGUAAUACGAAGGGGGCUAGCGUUGCUCGGAAUUACUGGGCGUAAAGGGAGCGUAGGCGGAUAGUUUAGUCAGAGGUGAAAGCCCAGGGCUCAACCUUGGAAUUGCCUUUGAUACUGGCUAUCUUGAGUAUGGAAGAGGUAUGUGGAACUCCGAGUGUAGAGGUGAAAUUCGUAGAUAUUCGGAAGAACACCAGUGGCGAAGGCGACAUACUGGUCCAUUACUGACGCUGAGGCUCGAAAGCGUGGGGAGCAAACAGGAUUAGAUACCCGGGUAGUCC